rnacentral:lncRNA from 1 species
AUUGUUUCUUGGCUCAAGAAUAGACUGGUCUGAAAUAUGAGUGAAUUUCAGAGCCUGAAGUCACACAAUGCCAGGUCCGGUGACUAGGAGAGUGAGGACAGGCCAUCAUAUUUGCAUGAGCCUACCUUUCGGUUGGAUGACCCUCGGCAGCAGCAUUCAUCAUAUUGUUCACCAAGCCUCACAGAGACAGAAGACACGAGAAAGGACUUCCAGGGUGGCUGUAGGGAGCGGCAAGAAUGACAGGCUCUUACCUCAGGUCGUGCCCCCCUCACAUCCCACCAGUACCAUCAGAGAAGCUCUCUCCGGAGAGCCCUGUGAGCACCUCACGCAAGCUGGACGGAUGUGCACUGCGAGCUGACUGUGCCAAGCAGACCCAGAGAGGAUCAAAGGUGAAGGUCCCUGUCCACCGAAGCCGUUGUCCAGGCGUCCGGUGCAAGGGUCUCUCGGGGAUACGUUGCUGGCACUUAGGGCGGGGUGCGGAACACUGAAACUGCUGUCGGGAAGGGGCUCACCCCUGAGCAGCUGCAUCACCUCCUUGAGAGGGCGUGGCUGGAACCAAGCAAAAUGUGAGCCUCCUCCUCACCUUCUAGGCCAUUCAUUUUUCAUGUCUUUGUAGCAGCUGGAGUUUGCGUCCACACCUAGGAUCUCUCCCUGUCUGCUUCUCUGUCCGU